CUACGGAGGGUGCAAGCGUUGUCCGGAUUUAUUGGGUUUAAAGGGUGCGUAGGUGGCGUGUUAAGUCAGUGGUGAAAGCCUGCAGCUCAACUGUAGAGGUGCCAUUGAUACUGACAUGCUUGAGUAUGGACGAGGUAGGCGGAAUUUGUGGUGUAGCGGUGAAAUGCAUAGAUACCACAAAGAACACCGAUAGCGAAGGCAGCUUACUGGACCAUAACUGACACUGAGGCACGAAAGUGUGGGUAGCGAACAGGAUUAGAAACCCUAGUAGUCC
rnacentral:rRNA from 1 species